CAGCCGUAAACUAUGCGCGUUAGGUGUACUGGUGACCACGAGUCACCGGGGUGCCGAAGGGAAACCGUGAAACGUGCCGCCUGGGAAGUACGGUCGCAAGGCUGAAACUUGAAGGAAUUGGCGGGGGAGCACCACAACGGGUGGAGCCUGCGGUUUAAUCGGACUCAACGCCGGGAAUCUCACCGGAUAAGACAGCUGAAUGAUAGUCGGGAUGAAGGCUCUACUUGACUAGCUGAGAGGAGGUGCAUGGCGUAGUCGUGU
rnacentral:rRNA from 1 species